rnacentral:rRNA from 1 species
AAAACUAAACGACUCUCGGCAACGGAUAUCUCGGCUCUCGCAUCGAUGAAGAACGUAGCGAACUGCGAUACUUGGUGUGAAUUGCAGAAUCCCGUGAACCAUCGAGUCUUUGAACGCAAGUUGCGCCCGAAGCCAUCCGGCCGAGGGCACGUCUGCCUGGGCGUCACGCAUCGCG